rnacentral:rRNA from 1 species
GACGAACGCUGGCGGCGUGCCUAAUACAUGCCAGUUGAGCGCUGAAGGUUGGUACUUGUACCAACUGGAUGAGCAGCGAACGGGUGAGUAACGCGUGGGGAAUCUGCCUUUGAGCGGGGGACAACAUUUGGAAACGAAUGCUAAUACCGCAUAAAAACUUUAAACACAAGUUUUAAGUUUGAAAGAUGCAAUUGCAUCACUCAAAGAUGAUCCCGCGUUUUAUUAGCUAGUUGGUGAGGUAAAGGCUCACCAAGGCGAUGAUACAUAGCCGACCUGAGAGGGUGAUCGGCCACCUUGGGACUGAGAAACGGCCCAAACUCCUACGGGAGGCAGCAGCAGGGAAUCUUCGGCAAUGGACGAAAGUCUGACCGAGCAACGCCGCGUGAGUGAAGAAGGUUUUCGGAUCGUAAAACUCUGUUGGUAGAGAAGAACGUUGGUGAGAGUGGAAAGCUCAUCAAGUGACGGUAACUACCCAGAAAGGGACGGCUAACUACGUG